AUGGGCCGCCGGGAAUACUACAAAGCUAGGGAGUGGGAGAGGUAGACGGUACUCCGUAGGAAGGGGUAAAAUCCUUUGAUCUAUGGAUGACCACCAGUGGCGAAGGCGGUCUACCAGAACACGUUCGACGGUGAGGGAUGAAAGCUGGGGGAGCAAACCGGAUUAGAUACCCGGGUAGUCCCAGCUGUAAACUAUGCAAACUCAGUGAUGCAUUGGCUUGUGGCCAGUGCAGUGCCGCAGAGAAGUCGCUAAGUUUGCCGCCUGGGAAGUACGUACGCAAGUAUGAAACUUAAAGGAAUUGGCGGGGGAGCACCACAAGGGGUGAAGCCUGCGGUUCAAUUGGAGUCAACGCCAGAAAUCUUACCCGGAGAGACAGCAGAAUGAAGGUCAAGUUGAAGCCUUUACCAGACAAGCUGAGAAGUGGUGCAUGGCCGUCGCCAGCUCGUGCCGUGAGGUGUCCUGUUAAGUCAGGUAACGAGCGAGAUCCUUGCCUCUAGUUGCUACCAUUACUCUCAGGAGUAGUGGGGCGAAUUAGCGGGACUGCCGUAGUUAAUACGGAGGAAGGAGGGGGCCA
rnacentral:rRNA from 1 species